NNNNGAUCCCGCGGCCGUGUUUUCCUGGUGGCCCGGCCGUGCCUGAGGUUUCUCCCCGAGCCGCCGCCUCUGCGGGCUCCCGGGUGCCCUUGCCCUCACGGUCCCCGGCCCUCGCCCGUCUGUGCCCUCUUCCCCGCCCGCCGCCCGCCGAUCCUCUUCUUCCCCCCGAGCGGCUCACCGGCUUCACGUCCGUUGGUGGCCCCGCCUGGGACCGAACCCGGCACCGCCUCGUGGGGCGCCGCCGCCGGCCACUGAUCGGCCCGGCGUCCGCGUCCCCCGGCGCGCGCCUUGGGGACCGGGUUGGUGGCGCCCCGCGUGGGGCCCGGUGGGCUUCCCGGAGGGUUCCGGGGGUCGGCCUGCGGCGCGUGCGGGGGAGGAGACGGUUCCGGGGGACCGGC
rnacentral:lncRNA from 1 species